AAAAAACAACUGUGUUCAUCAGGUUCAUGUCAGCGAAUAUGUUCUCAAUAGUAUGUUUCAAGGAGGUGUGCUCACCUGUGUGCGCGUAUCACGGCAGAGCGGCCAGCUGCUGAUCACGCACUCAAUAGCUCGACUGCAUGAAUAGAAGGAAAAAGUGCGCCCCUAAAUUUUCUGCUUGCGCCCCUAACAUUUUAAGUUAGGAGCGACUGUGCUCCUAGUUAAAAAAGUUAGUCUGGAGUCUCUGCACUACAAAAACACUCACUGUUGUCCAGUGGCGUUCCAGAGUGAGGCGUCUUUGACCUUGUAUACAACCUUUGAAACACAAAAAAGGCCAUAACGUUAUGAAUAGAAUGUACAUUAAGUUGUGAGAGCUGAUGUGACCUACCGCAGGCAACGCUUAUCUCUUAACGAGUGAAAGCAACACUAGUUUUUAUUGUUCAUUCAUAAUUAAUUUCUGAAAUAAAAUAUCAUUCUCUGGGGGAAAAUC